AAUCAACGCUGGCGGCGCGCCUAACACAUGCAAGUCGCACGAGAAAGCCGCAAGGUGAGUAAAGUGGCAGACGGGUGAGUAACACGUGGAUCAUCUACCCUUUGGCGGGGAAUAACCCUGGGAAACCGGGGCUAAUACCGCAUAAGUCCGAGAGGAGAAAGCCGAAAGGCACCGAAGGAAGAGUCCGCGGCCGAUUAGCUAGUUGGCGGGGUAACGGCCCACCAAGGCGAAGAUCGGUAGCCGGCCUGAGAGGGCACACGGCCACACUGGCACUGAGAUACGGGCCAGACUCCUACGGGAGGCAGCAGUGGGGAAUCUUGCACAAUGGGGGAAACCCUGAUGCAGCGACGCCGCGUGAGUGAUGAAGUCCUUCGGGAUGUAAAGCUCUUUCGACAGGAACGAUAAUGACGGUACCUGGAGAAGAAGCUGCGGCUAACUACGUGCCAGCAGCCGCGGUAAUACGUAGGCAGCAAGCGUUGUUCGGAAUUAUUGGGCGUAAAGAGUAUGUAGGCGGUUCGCUAAGUCUGAUGUGAAAUCUCCUGGCUUAACUGGGAGGGUGCGUCGGAUACUGGCGAGCUUGAGUGCGGGAGAGGAAAGCGGAAUUCCUGGUGUAGCGGUGAAAUGCGUAGAUAUCAGGAGGAACACCGGUGGUGUA
rnacentral:rRNA from 1 species